rnacentral:rRNA from 1 species
CCUACGGGCGGCUGCAGUGGGGAAUAUUGCACAAUGGGCGCAAGCCUGAUGCAGCCAUGCCGCGUGUGUGAAGAAGGCCUUCGGGUUGUAAAGCACUUUCAGCGGGGAGGAAGGCGUUAAGGUUAAUAACCUUGGCGAUUGACGUUACCCGCAGAAGAAGCACCGGCUAACUCCGUGCCAGCAGCCGCGGUAAUACGGAGGGUGCAAGCGUUAAUCGGAAUUACUGGGCGUAAAGCGCACGCAGGCGGUCUGUCAAGUCGGAUGUGAAAUCCCCGGGCUCAACCUGGGAACUGCAUUCGAAACUGGCAGGCUAGAGUCUUGUAGAGGGGGGUAGAAUUCCAGGUGUAGCGGUGAAAUGCGUAGAAAUCUGGAGGAAUACCGGUGGCGAAGGCGGCCCCCUGGACAAAGACUGACGCUCAGGUGCGAAAGCGUGGGGAGCAAACAGGAUUAGAUACCCUAGUAGUC